UACGUAGGGUGCGAGCGUUAAUCGGAAUUACUGGGCGUAAAGCGUGCGUAGGCGGUUCGUUAAGUUCGUUGUGAAAGCCCCGGGCUCAACCUGGGAAUGGCAAUGGAAACUGGCGGGCUGGAGUAUGGCAGAGGGGGUGGAAUUCCGCGUGUAGCAGUGAAAUGCGUAGAGAUGCGGAGGAACACCGAUGGCGAAGGCAGCCCCCCUGGGCCAAUACUGACGCUCAGGCACGAAAGCGUGGGGAGCAAACAGG
rnacentral:rRNA from 1 species